GGGAGCCCCUCCUAUCAUCACCAACCUUAGUUAACAUUUGCUGUUUACUGUUUCCAGGCACUGGGCAGGUGUUCUGCAUAGAUUAAUCUAAUUGAAUCCUCACAACAGCUCCACGGAACAGUUGUCAAGGCUGACCCAGAACCUAAGGGAGACACACCAGAGGGAUAAAUCCAUAGCAAUGUGCUGUGCUGGAAGCAGAGAGCAGCCCUCUCAGACACAGAAUUUGCCAGUGCCUUGAUCUUGGACUUCCCAGCCUCUAGAACUGCAAGAAACAAAUUUCUAUUAUUUAUAUAUUACCCAGUCUGUGAUAUUUUCAUUACAGCAGCACAAGAUCCUCCGGUGAUUCGUGUGCACGUUGAAGUUCAGCAGGCUCUGCUCCAGAUGCUAUCAUUAUUCUCCUAAUUUUAUGGUUGAGGAAGCUGAGGCUCUGAUGGUGAAGAUGGCGAGGCGUUGGCUGGAGGGGAGAGUUCAGGUACUUAAAGUACCUGGGUUUAAAGUUCAAGGGGCAUAAGUUUCCCAGUGGGGAGCAGGGAACAUAUGUUGCGCGGUGCUGUGCUAGUAAAUGUUUAACAAUUGGUUUGAGGAAUGGGGGGGAGUCCUGAUUUGAAGUGUUUGCCAAUUUCCGUGGUGUAACUACUCCCACCAUGGUGAAUUUCAAAUUACUAACCUGGUGUCACUGAACAUGGCCUUGGAAAGAGACAACCAUGAUUGGCUCCAACACACCACUGAUCUAUAUGUGUACAUGUAUUUUCUUAGCUUAAGAGAAAAAUCCAGAGAAACAGAUCCAACCCCUCCCCCACCAGCUUUAACCUCUGUUCACUCCCACCACACCCCUAAAUAUGGACAGACAGACAGAAAGACUGGCAGACGGAUGGAUGGUGCUGUGCUAGUACCUCUGCAUGUGAUUAGCCUACGGUGUUGCAUGUGUCUGUCCCCUUUCUUGGGUAUAGGAUCAGUGACAUGUUGGCCUCUGCCCCGUAUCCUAACUAAAUGUCACCUUCAGCCAGACUGUUCCAGCAGGUUUUCCUCAGAGAGUGAGCGCUGGGAGCUUGGAGCCCAGGCCUCGGUAGAUAUCAGUGGUCAGACAUGCCUAGUUUACUCUUUUCACCUGGAAACUUGAUUUCUCCUAAGCCUGAGACCACUGUGUGGGUGGGGCCCGAGUAAGCAGCCUGGCGCCAUGACCCGCCCCAGCUAUAGCCUGUUCUUCCCAUAUUACCCAGAGCCUUCCG
rnacentral:lncRNA from 1 species